rnacentral:rRNA from 1 species
GACGAACGCUGGCGGCGUGCUUAACACAUGCAAGUCGAACGGGUCUGCCCUGUUUUUUGCGGGGUGGGACAGUGGCGAACGGGUGAGUAACACGUGAGUAACCUGCCCCUCACUUCUGGAUAACCGCUUGAAAGGGUGGCUAAUACGGGGUGUUCUGGCUGUGCCGCAUGGUGUGGCUGGGAAAGAUUCACUUUUGUCGUGUAUUGGUGGGGGAUGGGCGUGGGGCCUAUCAGUUUGUUGGGGGGGUGAUGGCCUGCCAGGGGUUUGACGGGUCGCCGGCCUGGGAGGGUGGGCGGACUCACUGGGACUGAGGGACGGCCCAGACUCCGGCGGGAGGCAGAAGUGGGGGGUAGUGCAGGAUGGGCGGAAGCCUGAUGCAGCGACGGCGCGUGAGGGAUGGAGGCCGUCGGGUUGUGAACCUCUUUCGCGGGUGAAGAAGGUCCUGCUGUUUGUGGUGGGGUGGACGGUAGCCGGGUCAGGAAGCGCCGGCUAACUACGUG